AUUGAACGCUGGCGGCAUGCUUUACACAUGCAAGUCGAACGGUAACAGGUUAAGCUGACGAGUGGCGAACGGGUGAGUAAUGCAUCGGAACGUGCCCGGUCGUGGGGGAUAACGCAGCGAAAGUUGCGCUAAUACCGCAUACGAUCUGAGGAUGAAAGCGGGGGACCGUAAGGCCUCGCGCGAUCGGAGCGGCCGAUGGCAGAUUAGGUAGUUGGUGGGGUAAAGGCUCACCAAGCCAACGAUCUGUAGCUGGUCUGAGAGGACGACCAGCCACACUGGGACUGAGACACGGCCCAGACUCCUACGGGAGGCAGCAGUGGGGAAUUUUGGACAAUGGGCGAAAGCCUGAUCCAGCAAUGCCGCGUGCAGGAAGAAGGCCUUCGGGUUGUAAACUGCUUUUGUACGGAGCGAAAAGGUCUCCUCUAAUACAGGGGGCUCAUGACGGUACCGUAAGAAUAAGCACCGGCUAACUACGUGCCAGCAGCCGCCGCCG
rnacentral:rRNA from 1 species